GUAUCGGCACCAGCGUUGACAGAGAUUUGCUCUUAGAUGUUAUCAGGUGUAUGGGGACCAAGGAUGUUUUCCCACCGGAGAAUGAUUAACUUUCUUGUCUCCCCCUUGGAGUAGGAACAUAGCUUUAGUUUACUCAGAUGCAAGGUGAAAUACAGAACAUGAGGAAACGGGACCGGCGGAGACAUAGCCAAGAUGGAGCGUUUCCAAAAUGGACUCCCUUCACUUCCCCUACGUCAAUGCCUUGAAGGAUUACAAAAUGAUAAAUGAAGAAAAAAACAUGAAGGCAUCCAGACAGUAAGAAACAGAAGUUCAGAGAAAGGACUAAGGCCAUUAGGAAAAGGUAAAAAAACCGUUCAGGUGUCACAGAAUGAACACAAACCUGAGAGUUUUCUGCUCUGGGUGCCCCUUCCAAUCGCUGUGACAAUGGACUUCUUUGGACCUCGGUUUCCUCAACUACAAAUCAAAGACAUGGACAGACGGUCAGCCAACCUUUGAUGAGGCAAGUAAAGAGGCAAAAUGUUGGGAUUCCGGCAUGCCAACAAAUGGACCCUAUCACUGGAAUAAGAGAAAUUUCAGAUUACAGGAGUUAAUAUGUUUCAUAAGAUGAGUUUUUCCAGAAAACAAUGACAAAACCGGAAACUCUUCAUGAAGGCAAAGAAUGAGAAGGGAAGACACGACCACAAGCUAGGGUUUUGAGACAGGAAACCGAAGGCACCCAUGAGAGAAAAAGCUGCUUUUUCCCUUUGCUUCUUUUCCGACUUCUAUUCGUGCUAGGACCUGCUCCCCCACUCCACUCCACACAUGCCUCGGGAUGCAAAUAGCCCAUGUCCUCCUUGUAAGGGACAAGGAGUUCGUGAUUUCUCUAGAAUACCACGCAUCGAAGGAAAGACCAGGUGAGAAUGAU